CCUUGGAAAAGCAAGCUAACUCUGACAGCUAAAACUGCUCCACAGUGGAUGGGAAGAUCCCUGCGGCUCCGACCCCACAGCUACUCCCUCUGGUUUCUGGCCUGCACAGCUGACCCACACAGCGGGGCUCUCCGUGCCUCGGGAGCUUUCUGCUGAUGGAGCAUAGCUUCCAGGGACCCCCAGGAUUUGAAUCAAGACCAAUAAAUGAGGGCAGUGGUUGGAAUGGGUCAGCCCUGGGAGAUGGCGCUGAAGCUGGAGCCCGCACACCCAUCUGCCGGGUGCAGGGGAGGGAAGACUGCUGGGGACCUGGCUAUUUUCACUUUCUCCAUUGGCUGCUAUGUGUAUCUCUGCUAAUACAUCAGGAAAAUUAAUAAAUCUGAAACUU